rnacentral:sRNA from 1 species
CAGUUGUUUUUAUUUCAAGAUAUUCCUAUCUUACUACAGUUUCUACAGGAUAUUUUCAUUCAUCUUUAGAAGUCAGGAUUGACAUUUUUUUUAAAGGAGCCUUUAAAAUACAGGGGCCAUGGCGUUGUCUGUUGCAGGGACUACAGUAGGCUACCGUGAGGACCUUUGACUUUACUCUGGGUUAAAUAGGACACUGGAUCUGAGCAAGGAUCUGAGCCAAGUAGGACACAUCUUGUGUUAGGCACCUCAUUGGUUGUUGUAUUCAGAGCAGACGGGCAUAGAUCACGAAGCAAGGUGUUUGGAGGUCCAUCCCAGCUUAGACAAGGAGGCAGCAGUAGCUAGAGGGAGAUCAGUUUCUAAAGUGGAGUAAACUACUCUAGUAAACUGAUUUCGUAAUGAAUUAUGUGUGAGAGGAAGGAGGAAAGCAGAUAAAAAUGUCACAUCUGAGUAAAGUUACAGAGACAAGGAACACAAACCCUGAUCGGGAGCUGCGCUCCUAACCUGCCCCUUGUCGUCUUUGUACUUCAGAGCACAGGGACGCAGGUGUGACACCGCAGACACUCAGCUCUGGUAACAGGUCAUGUCAUCACUGCUGCUAUCCCUACUCUACUGAACUGGACUGCUGAUAUAUCUGUGAAGUGUUUUGCAAGUGGAUCGAGCUGCCUCUGCUGGCCUGUGAACUAAAUUUCUGAUUUCCAGACAACACAGA